rnacentral:miRNA from 1 species
GCGGGGCGGGGCGCACG